AUGGCGUGACCAUGUUCAACCGCUGGUACAUGCCUAUAACUGUACCAAGAAUGAUACAACUGGUUUCUCUCCUUAUCAGUUAAUGUUUGGGAGACAGCCAAGCCUUCCCAUAGACGUGGCUUUUGGUAUCAAACAAGAAGGGGGGAAGAAAGUCACUCACACAGAGUACGUCAAAAAGCUGCAAGAGAGUUUAUGUGAGAGUUACCGGAUUGCUGUUGAACACAGUGAGAAGACGGCUCUUCGUAACAAACAAAGGUACGAUCUGAGGGUGAGAGAGUCCACCUUGCAUGUUGGGGACCGUGUCCUUGUCAAAAAUGUGGGAAUAAGAGGUAAACAUAAGAUCGCUGAUCGAUGGAGCAACACAAUUUUUCAAGUGGUCAAACAGAUAAAUGAAUCUCCUGUUUAUGUAGUGAAACCUCUUACGACAAAUGGUCCAGAAAAAACACUUCAUCGAGAUUUACUUUUGCCUUGUGGAUUCCUGACUUCCACCAAUCCCACAGAUGAAAGUGACAGAGAGGAGAGGAAGGAGAAGAUCUCUUGUCCUAAGGAGAUAUUGUUAGCGAAUGAAUUCCAUUACCUAGAUGAAGUCGUCCAGGACCACGAUGCAGAUGUAGAUUAUUUCCCUCAAACUACACAAGACACAUCCUAUCCUACCAUAACCAUUAUUCGAGAAGUGCCUUACAACAAAGCAAUCAAUGAGGAUACAAUUGGGACUACAUUGAAUCCUAAUGCAAGGCCGUUUGAACCUUCAGUAAGUAAGGAAGAUGUGCACCUACCUGGAGAAACCCUGACAGAGGAUAACUUACCUGGGAAGUUCCUGGAAAAGAGGAUGAAACCUGUCAAUGAACUGAAUUCUAUGUCCACUGAUAGAAAUGAGGAUGAGUCCAAUCAGGAGUUGAUUGUUAAUGAUGCUGAACCUGUUGAGCAAAAAGAGAAUGAAACAAGAGAAGACAAACACAACAACAGUGAAACUGUGAGUGUGGAGCAUGAUCUAGAACAUAAGGACAUACCUGCUCAAGAGAUGCCAGAGCUUAGACGUUCUACACGACAUAGGGAACAACCUGAUAGACUGAACUAUAAGUCAUUAGGAAAUCCUUUGGCAUUAGUCAUGCAUUCCCUGUUAGAAGGUCUAAACCAAGCUUUCACACGAGCCCUUGAAACUGAUGCUUUCCCUCAAGUUAGAAUACUAGCACCUGAUACAUCUGAACUCUUAUAAAUGCACUACAUGCAGAGACGCAUGCAGGUUCAGGAGGGGAGGAUGUAACCCCCUAGAGU
ensembl:lncRNA